CUGGUUGAUCCUGCCAGACCCGACUGCUAUCGGAUUGGGACUAAGCCGUGCGAGUCAACUCCGCAAGGGGUGGCGCACGGCUCAGUAACACGUAGUCAACCUACCCUGGGGACGGGGAUAACCUCGGGAAACUGAGGCUAAACCCCGAUGGGCCAUGGCUCCUGGAAUGGGCUAUGGCUGAAAUUUACAUGGCCCCAGGAUGGGACUGCGGCCGAUCAGGUUGUUGGUGGGGUAAUGGCCCACCAAGCCCAUAACCGGUGCGGGCUCUGAGAGGAGGAGCCCGGAGAUAGGCACUGAGACAAGGGCCCAGGUCCUAUGGGGCGCAGCAGGCGCGAAACCUCCGCAAUGGGCGAAAGCCCGACGGGGUCAGUCCGAGUGGUUCCCGCUGAGGGAACCUUUUGCCAGCUGUAAACAGGCUGGCGAAUAAGGGGUGGGCAAGUUUGGUGUCAGCCGCCGCGGUAAUACCAGCACCCCGAGUGGUCGGGACGAUUAUUGGGCCUAAAGCAUCCGUAGCCGGCCCAGUAAGUCCUCCGUUAAAUCCAACGGCUCAACCGUUGGGCCGCAGGGGAUACUGCUGGGCUAGGGGACGGGAGAGGCGAGGGGUAUUCCCGGGGUAGGGGUAAAAUCCACUGAUCCCGGGAGGACCACCAGUGGCGAAGGCGCCUCGCUAGAACGUGCCCGACGGUGAGGGAUGAAAGCUGGGGGAGCGAACCGGAUUAGAUACCCGGGUAGUCCCAGCCGUAAACGAUGUAGGCUCGGUGUUGGGCUGCCUCAGUGGCAGCCCGGUGCCGCAGGGAAGCCGUUAAGCCUACCGCCUGGGGAGUACGGCCGCAAGGCUGAAACUUAAAGGAAUUGGCGGGGGAGCACCAC
rnacentral:rRNA from 1 species